rnacentral:lncRNA from 1 species
CUCAACUUCCAAAUUUUGAAAAAAAAAAAAAAAUGAGAAAGAAAAGUGGAAAAAUAUAAACAAAAAAUGCAACUCAAUCUAUCAUUCAAAUACUCACUAACCCUUAAACUCACGCCCCUCUUUCUCAUUCAAAUCGUCAACAUCUCACAACCAUCGACGAUCACCAUUAAUCAAUCCACGCUGUGGAAGACCACUAUUAAUCUCUUCAAGUUUUCCCUUUUUUCUCUCUCGCAUUUUUGCCUUCUUAUCUUCCGAUUCUUCACAUCUGGGGGUGUUUUGCUUUUAUAUUCUCCGCAUUUUUUUACUAUCGAUUGGUACCGCAUGCCUUAUUUUUUCGAUUUUUAUUGUCUAUUUUUUUGGUUCUAGGAAAAUAUUAACUUUAGGGUUUAUGUGACUUAUCUAUGAAUUUAUUCCUUAUAACUAUGUUUUUCACUCUUCUUUCAUGUAAAUAAUGUUCAGAGGAUCGAUUAUUGAAUUGGUGAUUUGAAUUUGGAGUUGUGGUUAUCAUCCGGCGACAUUGAUAAUCAUUAUAUUUCAAACGUUUCAUUUGGAUCGAACAGGUAAGAAUCAUGAUUUCUUCAUUUUUUUUUUCAUUUGACCAAUUUACAUUUAAAAUAAAAUUUAAAUUAUCCUUCAUUGUGUUUGACUAAUACUAGGUUUUUAUUGCGUUCAACUAGAUUUUAAUGUUUGGAUGGUUUUUGAUUAUUACUAGGCAAACUGAGUUUUGGCUUAACUUUUGAAUUUGUAAAAUGAGCCAAGAUUGAACUAGGGCAUGUUCUAGUCAACAACGCUCAAAUAAGCUUGGCUAUUUUACAUGUUGUAGCUUGCAUGUUUAUCUUUAUAUGAUUAUGAGGGGUUAUUUGAAUGUUGUUUAAGUCUUGGUUCAUUGUAUUUUCAUCCUUGAAAAUGCCUUUACAGUUACAUUUACAACUUAUGACCAAGUGCAUGAAAAGUGAUGCUAUUUGAAGCUAUGAGUAUAACACUCAUCAUGUUUGUCAUAACCCGAUCUUUCAUAUCUUGGAAAACCAAUAUAAAUGUGCAAUGUAAAUGUCAAUCCCGACAGUAAUAGAAUUAUCUGUCGAGAUAAACUGUCGUUCUCAAUAAUUAGGUUUGAAUUUUCCAACAAUUGAUUCACUUAUCUUGACGGUUGGUUUCGUAAGUCAAAUUUUGUUAAGCUUAUCUUCUACGUGUGGUUUUAAGGGUUAAGAUGUAUGACAUAUCAUCAUCUGACACCAUUAUUACUUCAAGAUAUGCAAACGUUACAAUUCUUGAACCAUCUGUAAAGAUAAACUUUCAUUCUUAACAGUUGAGUCACUUUUCUCGACAGUAAGUUCUAGAAGCCUAAUUUUGUUCAGCAGCUCCUAUGCAUGUACUAUGAAUAAAAUGUAUGACAUAUCAUCAUUUGACCCGUUUCUUUCUUUACAUGUGCUUCUUUCUUCAUGUACCUGUACUAUGAAUGAAAUGUACGAUAUAUCAUCAUCUGAUAUUUUUGCUUUCUUCCAGAUCCUUGCUUUAGCAUAUGAAUUUUAAAUUGUUAGUUCCUAAAGUAGCACACUUCCAUGCUUACAUUUCCUAGCAGAACAAUGUCAAGUACAUCAAAAGCAAUGACAGUCAACGAAUUGAUUUUAGGAACUCAUGCCUUGGGUUCCUUGCCAAUUUACCUGAAAUUCAAUUCUUGGCAUAACUAAUUCAACAACUUGUGUUCAGAAUGAUAAAAAACUAAAAAGACAAAGGAGUUAUGCUUUAACGUAUAGUGCCACCAUAUACAGUUUUGGGCUACAAGAGUAUGCGGUCGUUAUGGGACUAAGAUGCUAUCCCAUGCAAAAAGGCGACGACUUAGACAAAGCUAUGAAAAGAAUGAGACUCAAGGAUAAAUACUUCCUUGCGAAUGAGUUUCAUGUGCCCAACUAGAAAAUGCUUUCUUAAACCCGUUGUUGAUUGCUCUGAAUAAUAAUGUCGGUGUUGAUCUCGGUAUAUUGCCGGUCGUUGACAACAUGGGCAUUUUUUAAUAUCCUUGGGGCAAAGUGGGUUUAACCGCCUGAUGAGGGGAUUUAGGAGUGGUUGGUCGAGAAAGUUUCGUGAUGCUAAGUUGAAGAAUGAGAAUGAGAUUACUUAUAUAAUUCAAGAAUUUUCCAUUGCUGUACAUGUAUUCUCAUUUUUUCUUGAAGAUGUGUUUAUUAUUUUAAUACAAAUAUAAUCUGCCUUGGACUAAAACGGUACUAACAUCAUUUUGUUUUCAUCUGACAGAUUUGGGCAUUUGAGGCGGUCCCCAAACUUGGUGAAAGGGGAGAGACUUGGUAUUCACUUUCCAAGGAUUAUUAGUUGGACGGUUACAAAACAACCGUAGUAACGUAUAUAUGAAAUGUGCCAACCUGAAACGUUCUAUCUCGAACUACCAAGGGGUCUAUCGACUAAUGGGAAAAAUAAGGCAAUUGUUAUGCUUUACUACCUUAAUUUUAAAAAAGCAAUUGCCACACCGUCUGGAGUCCUUGUCCUUAUAUGUUGAAACCUGGUUGUUUCGUAUAAAGAUGCCAACUUGGAAGAUGCUAGCACAAUCUACUAAGAGGCCCCAUCAGCUAGUGGGAUAAAGGAUGCAAU